rnacentral:rRNA from 1 species
GACGAACCGUGCGAACGUUGUCCGGAAUUAUUGGGCGUAAAGAGCUCGUAGGCGGUGUGUCACGUCGUUCGUGAAAACCUGCAGCUUAACUGUGGGCGUGCGGUCGAUACGGGCAUCACUGGAGUUCGGCAGGGGAGACUGGAAUUCCUGGUGUAGCGGUGAAAUGCGCAGAUAUCAGGAAGAACACCCGUGGCGAAGGCGGCUCUCUGGAACGCAACUGACGCUGAGACGCGAAAGCGUGGGGAGCAAACAGG